UACGAAGGGGGCUAGCGUUGCUCGGAAUGACUGGGCGUAAAGGGCGCGUAGGCGGACAGCUUUGUCAGGCGUGAAAUUCCAGGGCUUAACCUUGGGGCUGCGUUUGAGACGGGUUGUCUUGAGUGGGGAAGAGGGUCGUGGAAUUCCCAGUGUAGAGGUGAAAUUCGUAGAUAUUGGGAAGAACACCGGUGGCGAAGGCGGCUCACUGGCUCGUAACUGACGCUCAUGCACGACAGCGUGGGGAUCAAACAGG
rnacentral:rRNA from 1 species